rnacentral:lncRNA from 1 species
AUGGCUCAGCGUCUGUCUGCUCUUGGAUCCUUUGGAGGCCUGCUAGAUUUCAGACGCUCAGGUUUGGCCAGUGCACUCCCAACCCCUGAAGUUAAGCAAGGUAGAUGAAUUAUUAAACCACACCGGGCCAUUAGCAUAUUGGGCCUUACCUCUCUGGGGUCCCUGCCCUUGAGCAACUAAAUGCUUUAUUGAAGAGGCAAAAAACAUGCACGAAAAAGAGGUGGCGGUAGCAGCUGGAAUGGGCCCGGGAGUCCUCUCAGAAAAGGCUUUCCGCUGUCAUGGUGAAUUACACGCUAGGUUCGCUGUGAAAGCUGGCAGAGAAUGGCUAAACAGCAUAGAUAAGCCGUCUUGUUGA